CAAGGUGUAGCUUAACACAAAGCAUCUGGCUUACACCCAGAAGAUCUCAGUACCACUUGAUUGCCUUGA
rnacentral:tRNA from 1 species